rnacentral:lncRNA from 1 species
UCAGAGGAUUCCACGAUGGACUUCCCUUUCUUUUCUCAAAACAUAUGCAAGUUUGGAUAGUGACUUGGGAGAAAGCACUUCAAUGAUACCAUGUACAGCUUCAGACGACAGUCCAGUCGUAAUUAAUUCCUUCUCAAUAUAUUCUCUACUCAGUUUUCCCAACUGCAUAGGCACGGUACCAACAUGAAGAUAGCAAGAAUUAAUUACAUAGAGGUAAAUGUAAAAAACAAAUAUUACCACAAAUUGAAAAUCCCCAAAUGAGCACACAGGCAUAUACCCUUUUGAAUAUGCAUUAAACAGUGAGUUCCCAUUCUGAGCACCCCCAUACCCCGCG